GGGAUUCGCGCCUCUUCGGCCAAGUCCUCCACGUCGGAAAGAAACUUGACUGCGUCGACGAUUUUCUCCAUUUUUUUAUUAUCGUCCACUCCCACCACCCGAGCUAUUUCUUUAGUUUUUUGAAAUAUCUCAUUGUGUAAGUGAUCACAUUCCUGGGCAUUUUCUUCCGUUUUGCAUUCUAAUUGAGCAGAUUCAACUGGGGAAAUGUCUGGGGGAUAAAGUCGUUGAGGUCAAGAUCUGGAAUUGCCUCGAGCCCUACACAUAAAGCGACAGCAGGGCUAAGAAUACACAUGAGUACUAAAGAAAUGGAAAUUCUAAGAAGAAAAAAAAAAGAAUAAUCUCAAUAAAUCCGUUCUAGUUCUUAGAGAGAUAAAUACUGAAAAAUCUGUCAAUAAAUGACGGACCGGACGAAGGAUAUUUGAACU
rnacentral:lncRNA from 1 species